rnacentral:rRNA from 1 species
UCAGGAUGAACGCUAGCUACAGGCUUAACACAUGCAAGUCGAGGGGCAGCAUUGGGAUAGCUUGCUAUUCAGAUGGCGACCGGCGCACGGGUGAGUAACGCGUAUCCAACCUUCCUGCCAGUAGGGAACAGCCCGGCGAAAGUCGGAUUAAUGCCCUAUGUUCUUCAAUGCGGACAUCUAAGUUGAAGGAAAGAUUCAUCGCUGGCAGAUGGGGAUGCGUCCGAUUAGCUUGCCGGCGGGGUAACGGCCCACCGGGGCGACGAUCGGUAGGGGUUCUGAGAGGAAGGUCCCCCACACUGGUACUGAGACACGGACCAGACUCCUACGGGAGGCAGCAGUGAGGAAUAUUGGUCAAUGGGCGUAAGCCUGAACCAGCCAAGUAGCGUGCCAGGAUGACGGCCCUACGGGUUGUAAACUGCUUUUAUGCGGGGAUAAAGUGCGGCACGUGUGCCGCUUUGCAGGUACCGCAUGAAUAAGGACCGGCUAAUUCCGUGCCAGCCGCGGC